rnacentral:lncRNA from 1 species
CAAACCAAAUAUCUUUCAAUUGAAAAUGCAAAGGCAAUGCUUUGAAAUGUGCUGUUGAAAUACAUUAUACAGUUGGGAGGGUCCUUUCAGCUUCCUACGAAUUUAUCAGAGAACCUCUCUUUUCUUCCACCCAAGAGGAGGAAAUUCUCCGCUCAACUUUUGACCUGAUUUGAAAACUCUCUGUAAUGCUGCUGAGUGUCGGAUUGCCCGAGUUGCUUCACUCUCUGUUUCCUGGAGGGGGAGGGAAGCUGCACAGCAUGGCUUCUGUGGUUACCUUAGGAACUGUGUGCUGGAGUGGUUCCAGUCCCAAGCUGGGCUUAGGUUUCCUAAACUGAGCUGAUUGAAAACCAGUCUUAAAAGGUCGGAUGAGUUAACUCCCAGGUGGAGCUCCACCAGCAUGCUGAGAUCACAGUGAUCCCCGGCUGCCUUGGCAUGUCAGCCGUGCCGGGCACAUCUUCAUUUUCCC